AGCUAUGGCCAUACCAACCUGAAAGUGCCCCAUCUUGUCUGAUCUUGGAAGGUAAGCAGGAUGGGGCCUGGUUAGUACUCGGAUGGGAGAAAACACACAUGUGAUGCAUUUA
ensembl:rRNA 5S_rRNA 5S ribosomal RNA